CGAACGUUGCAGCGAGACCAUCAACGCUGA
rnacentral:sRNA from 1 species